AUCUCAGCGAUUUACCAGCAUGGGCAGCUGGAGCUGAUUAGAUAAAAUGCUGUUAACGGACUGAGUUAAUACUCAGGCAGGCGCGGCUCGAGAGAAUGUGUGUUUGGAGAGGGUCAUAAGCCUUCCUGUACUCACUGAUGGAGUCUGGCUCUGUCACUCAGAAUGGAGUGCAGUAGCAGGAUCUCGUUUCCCUGCAACCUCCACCUCCCAGGUUCAAGCGAUUCUCCUGCCUCAGCCUUUUGAGUAACCGGGACUACAGAUAUUGAAAGAUCAUCACAGAAAUGUGAUUACUGUUGUGGACAAACAUCUCAGCACCUAAUAAGGUCUCCUGAAAAAAAUGCAUUUGCAACAAAAAUGAUUGCAUGCCCUUCAUCUGAAUGCAUGAUGAACUUGAAAAAGAUACAAAAGUCAUUAGGUGCUGGUGACCAUCAUGCGAUCCAAAGUCACUUAGAGAGAAACCUGAAAAGGAAAGCCAUGUUCAACAAACACAGGCCCAGGGCGUCUAACGUCAGACAAAGAAGUAUUACUUCCAGGGUGGGUUCAGAAAUCACCUGUUCAGACAAACGUCGUGCUGCCAGACACAUACACCACUGGACUUACUCCUUUGAGCCUUUUGAAAAUCUGCCAGAGCUGCCUGCUUUGUCUCAUUUGGUGAAGACAAGAAGAAGAGGAAAGACUUAAGGAGAUUGAAUGCCAACCAAAUCAGCAGUUACCACUUGAAUAUAAAUCCCCUUUUCUGCUCUCCCCUCUAAGGAGUCAUGAUAAUUCCCUUCUAGGGCUUCAUUUCAUAACCUGGGUCAAUUUGACUCAUUAUCUCCCUGUCAGCAUGAAGAGAAUGAAAAUCAGCUGUCAGGACCAACUAAUCCCUGCUCUGAAUAGAUAUGAGAUGGGGUAGAAGUCGAGGGUUGUUAACCCCCAAAAACAAAUUCAAGGAUUCUGGGACAAGCCCAGCCCUGGAUCAGGCUGCAGAUGUCUGGAAGCUUCUGGGUAACCUCAAGUGAUGACCUUUGAAGGAGAGGGGGCACAGGGCUAAGGGCGGAGGAAACAGCUGGAGGAAGUUAACUUAGGCAAAACUGAAUGGAGCAUGGUGUUCAGAGCCAUGGAUCACACCAAACCAGAGCACAGGUUCCAGACUCAGACUGACCUGGGCUUGAAUUCAAGCUGCUGCCCUGUGGCCUUGGGCAGGUUGCCUAAUCUCACUAAGAUUCCAUUUUCUUGCCAGUAUAAUGAAAUAAUACUACAUGUGUGUAUUCUGAUUAAAAUAUGACUAUCCUCUG
rnacentral:lncRNA from 13 species